rnacentral:rRNA from 1 species
UAGGGAAUCUUCGGCAAUGGACGGAAGUCUGACCGAGCAACGCCGCGUGAGUGAAGAAGGUUUUCGGAUCGUAAAGCUCUGUUGUUCGAGAAGAACGUUGGUAGGAGUGGAAAAUCUACCAAGUGACGGUAACUAACCAGAAAGGGACGGCUAACUACGUGCCAGCAGCCGCGGUAAUACGUAGGUCCCGAGCGUUGUCCGGAUUUAUUGUGCGUAAAGCGAGCGCAGGCGGUUCUUUAAGUCUGAAGUUAAAGGCAGUGGCUUAACCAUUGUACGCUUUGGAAACUGGAGGAUUUGAGUGCAGAAGGGGGGAGUGGAAUUCCAUGUGUAGCGGUGAAAUGCGUAGAUAUAUGGAGGAACACCGGUGGCGAAGGCGGCUCUCUGGUCUGUAACUGACGCUGAGGCUCGAAAGCGUGGGGAGCAAACAGG